AGCUUUUUGCUUUGGCAGUAUUGCCAAAUGAGGUUUAUCUCAGGAGUGGUUAUUGGUAAUUGAAAACUUUUUCCGAGUUCCCUGCUGUCAUGACUUGUAGUGUAGUCAGCAUUGGCAAGUUUUGACAAUCUUUUUGGAGA
ensembl:snRNA U4 U4 spliceosomal RNA